UCAGUUCGGAUUGAAGGCUGAAAUUCGCCUUCAUGAAGCCGGAAUUGCUAGUAAUGGCAGGUCAGCAUACUGCCGUGAAUACGUUCCCGGGCCUUGUACACACCGCCCGUCACACCAUGAGAGUUGGGAAUACCCGAAGCCUGUAAGCUAACGUUAAGAGGCAGCAGUCGAAGGUAGAAUCAAUGAUUGGGGUGAAGUCGUAACAAGGUAGC
rnacentral:rRNA from 1 species